UAAACGUCUCAGUUCGGAUUGUAGUCUGCAACUCGACUACAUGAAGCUGGAAUCGCUAGUAAUCGCGAAUCAGAAUGUCGCGGUGAAUACGUUCCCGGGUCUUGUACACACCGCCCGUCACACCAUGGGAGUCAGCAACGCCCGAAGCCGGUGACCCAACCGAAAGGAGGGAGCCGUCGAAGGUGGGGCCGAUAACUGGGGUGAAGUCGUAACAAGGUAUC
rnacentral:rRNA from 1 species